UGACCAAUCACGCAAGUGGUGUUGGGGCCUGCCGUCGGCAGCCCUUAAAAGCAGUGGCAGUGCUAUAGGCUCUCAGCGCAGUAAUUCUUCCGCUCUCGAGUCCUAGAACCACCCGCCAAAACCCCAAUCUUUCUUAA
rnacentral:misc_RNA from 1 species